rnacentral:tRNA from 1 species
GCCGGUUUAGUUCAGUUGGUAGAGCAAGAGCAUCGCACUCGUAACGCGGGGGCCGUAGGUUCGAUCCCUAUAGCCGGUA